CCACUGUUGGCGACUGAGCAGCUAAACGGAGCUCUCAGGGAGCGGAAGAGUAUAUAACGGAAAGUCAGGCCGUUCUGUUCUUCCUUGAAUUUACUAUCUAGCCAUCCAAAAGGCAGUGUGAUUAUAUAGUCUUAUUUUGGAUGGACAAUUCAAGUAAGAUUAAUAAGAAAAAGGCAAUUAGAAACACUGGUAAUUCCUGCAAGGUGAGUGACAGGAAUUGCUCUGAACCAUUGACCAUUUGUCAUUAGAACACUGAUAUUUCAUGAUUGAAAAAUGUUAGUUUUUUAAAAAUGUUUCAUUUAAAUGCUUACUGUGACCUUAAAAAUUGCAGUUAGAGCAUGUGCUUUUUAAGCAGCAUUUCUCAUGGUAAAAGUGAGAUAAUGUACAGUUGACAUGAGAGGUUGUCAAUACAGAAGGAUUUCAAAUAGUUUUGGGAAGUAUCUCAAUGUGUAGAGGAAGUGAAACAAAUGGAGUAGUUGAGAGUGAAAAUAGUAUUUGUGAGGAUAGUUGUUACUUACGUCACUUUUGUGAUGGUGAAUGAGGUACAGAACUGAAUGUACAAAGGCUUUCAGAUAGAAAAUUUGGAGUGCGUAUAUCAAGUAGUUGGAAAUUUAGAUUUGUGGCUGGAAUGGAGUGGAAAUAAUUUAUAUUUGAGGUUAGUAAUAGAUAUAUUGGUCUGUUGAUUAUAUAGCGAAUAGAUAGUGGAAAGUUGACGUUUAGUUGAAUACCAGGAAUGAGAGGGUGGGCAGAGUAAUAUUUAUGCUAGACAAUUGCUAUCUUGGAUAGAUUCUAACCACUGCUUCUUGACAUUUCAAUGGCAUUGCUAUCACUAAAAGGCCCACUAUCCACAUCCUGGAGGGUUCCAUUUACCACAAAUUGAACUGAACAAGCCAUAUAAACAUGUGGCUACAAGAACAGGUCAGAAGUUAGGAAUAUUGCAGCAAUAUACCGGCCACUACAGCGGACAGCUGAAACUGACAACC